CGGUGGAAAAGAAACUAACCAGGAUUCCCUCAGUAGCGGCGAGCGAAGCGGGAAGAGCCCAAUAUGAAAAACCUGCUUGCAGGUGUUGUAUUUGAAUGCCCUUGGGGUGUCAGUGUGGGUAAGUUGCAUGGAAAUGCAUACCGCGGAGGGUGAGAGUCCCGUCCAGCCUACACAGGACGCCCCGUUCUAGGGUAUUUCAGUCGAGUCGGGUAGCUUGGGAAUGCUGCUCUAAUCGGUGGUAAAUCUCAUCGAAGGCUAAAUACUGGCUGAAGACCGAUAGCGAACAAGUACCGUGAGGGAAAGUUGAAAAGCACUUUGAAAAGAGGGUGAAAAGAACCUGAAACCGUCACGGGGGAAGCGGAUUGCGUUGGAUUGAUGGGAUUUUUGUGUGUUCAGCCCUUUAGGGUGCAUUGGCAUGAGAUCUUAUUCGUCGUGGGUUUUCGGGAACGGAUGAUGUGUUCCCGGGGACUGAGGGCUCCCCUUUAUGGGUUGAGGACGACGAAGCGACGACGCGAUACGACCCGUCUUGAAACACGGACCAAGGAGUCUAGCGCGAUUGCGAGUCUAAGGGUGGUGAAACCUGGCGGCGGAGUGAAAGCAAAUGUGAAAACGAGCAGUUUGAGGCGGCAUAAAAUCGUUGAUUUUAAGUCCGACCUGGAGCCAUUGCGCUGGGACCCGAAAGAUGGUGAACUAUGCCGGAGUAGGGCGAAGCCAGAGGAAACUCUGGUGGAGGCUCGUAGCGGUGCUGACGUGCAAAUCGCUCGUCCAACUUGGGUAUAGGGGCGAAAGACUAAUCGAACCAUCUAGUAGCUGGUUCCCUCCGAAGUUUCUCUCAGGAUAGCGGGCCGACAUGUGUUGUUCUGUGUGGUAAAGCGAAUGAUUAGCGUAUUUUGGGGAUAUUACAUUUUCGGGCGAUUCUCAAACUUUAAAUACGCAGGGGUGUCGCUGCUUGGUUGAGCGGCACCGGUAAAAACGUCGGCCCUGUGGGCCACUUUUGGUAAGCAGAACUGGCGAUACGGGAUGAACCGUAAGUAUGGUUAAGGCGCCAAACUGCCCGCUUAUAGAUCCCACAAAAGGUGUUGAUUCAUCGAGACAGCAGGACGGUGGCCAUGGAAGUCGGAAUCCGCCAAGGAGUGUGUAACAACUCACCUGCCGAAUGAAUUAGCCCUGAAAAUGGAUGGCGCUGAAGCGGGUGGCCGACACCAUACCGUUUGGGUAAGAAAAGACUCAGAUGAGUAGGAGGGCGUGGGGGUUGUGUCGAAGCAUGCGUGCGAACGUGUGUGGAACGGCCUCUAGUGCAGAUCUUGGUGGUAGUAGCAAGUAUUCAAGCGAGAUCCUUGAAGGGCGAAGCGGGGAAGGGUUCCACGCGAACAUUGAUUGGGCGUGGGUGAGUCGUUCCUAAGCCGAGUGGCGAUUGCUAAGUAGCGGCGAAAGGGAAGCGGGUUGACAUUCCCGCACACGGAUGUGGAGGCGGUGACGCAUUAUUGGGACGGAGACGCUGGCGACGGCGCUGGGCAGAGUUGUCUUUUCUGUUUGACCGUGCGAGUAAGCAGUGUGGAAUCCGCUUGUCGGGAGAAACACGCCUAUUCGGGCAGAGCGCCGGGACUUUUCCGGCGUCCAGCUCGCCGUCGACGGCCCUUGAAAAUCUGUCUGCUGAUAUAAUCCACGCCGUGGCGUACCGAUCACCGCAUCAGGUCCCCAAGGUGAACAGCCUCUGCUCGAUAUGAAAAAUGCAGGUAAGGGAAGUCGGCAAAUUAGACCCGUAACUUUGGGAAAAGGGUUGGCUCUAGUGCUGCGUGGGAGUGGUUGUCGGACGGCGGCGUAGCAUGCGUGGCGGCAUGGCGCGGUGACCGCAAGGUUGUUGUUCCGGCUGCUGGGCGUGUUGCGGCACGGCCGACGACGCCCACAGCAUGCAGCAAACUAGAACUGCAACGGGCAAAGGGAAUCCGACUGUUUAAUUAAAACAAAGCAUUGCGAGGGCCGUGGCCGGUGAUGACGCAAU
rnacentral:rRNA from 1 species